rnacentral:lncRNA from 1 species
GGGUUCCUAUACCCCUGAAGAUGCAGUGGGUUAAAGUGAGGUUACCUGAAGAAAGAGAGAAUCACGAAGUCAAACCUUGGCAAGACCGGGCAAAAUUGACCCAUUCAAAGUCUUUGCAUCAUUCUCGUUACAUGAUAAUGAGCAAAGAGGGGCAGUUGUUGGGCUCAAUUUUAGCCCGGGGCCCAAACCAAUACUAAAUUAAAACAAAACACCCUCAGACCCAAUUCAACCAAGCCCAAUACAAACCCAAUCCUAAAAUACCUGAACCGUAGCCCAAAUUUUUAGCCCCCCCCAAAAAAAACAUUUUCGGCAGAACCCUAGCAGCCAACCUUCAGCCGCCGCAAUCGAAGCAGUCCCCAGGCACCGUACGUCGCGCGCCCUUCCACGUCUUGCGCUCAUCCACCUCGCCACAUUAGAGACGUGAUCAAUCGUACCUGUAAACACGUAAAACACGUAAAAAAAAGGCUAUAAAAGCCUUCGUAAACAUAUGUAAAAGGGUUUUUUUUACUCUUAUUUUUCCAGAGAAAUUGGUUACAGAUUAUAUACAAAAUACACGCAAAAAUCAGUAGAAAGCAAACAAGGAAUAUUUUCAAAGGUGGAUUAUUUACUACGGUUUUAUUUUGUUUCGUUUUUUUUUUUUUUUUUUACCUUUCCAUUCGGAUCCACAACACGAACUAAAGGAUAGGAGAGAAGGAGAUGGACUCAUCGCACGUCGUGCUCGUACUGUUGGAGGACUCUGCUUCGUUGGUCGCAAGCGACUUUUAGGGCAGUUGAAGGCUUGGGCAUAAGCCUUUCGGCGUAGAGCAGAGGGGAGAGUGAGGGAUUCCAAAACUUUAGGUUUUUUUUUUUUAAAAAUUCUCAAAGUCAAAAUGGU